GUCUACAGCCAUACUGCCCUGAAUGAGCCUGAUCUUGGAAGCGAAGCAGGGUUGGGCCUGUUUAGUACUUGGAUGGGAGACUGCCUGGCCCAGGAACUCCAUAUGCCAUGAGGU
rfam:Sus scrofa isolate TJ Tabasco breed Duroc chromosome 18, whole genome shotgun sequence.